GACGAACGCUGGCGGCGUGCCUAAUACAUGCAAGUAGGACGCAGUUGCGAACGGGUGAGUAACGCGUAGGUAACUGCCUAUUAGAGGGGGCUAACUAUUGGAAACGAUAGCUAAUACCGCAUACUAGUAGAUGGACCUGCGUUGUAUUAGCUAGUAGGUAGGGUAAUGGCCUACCUAGGCAAGGAUACAUAGCCGACCGGGAGGGGUGAUCGGCCAAACUGGGGCUGAGACACGGCCCAGAAUCCUACGGGAGGCAGCAGUAGGGAAUCUUCGGCAAUGGGGGGAAACCUGGCCGAGCAACGCCGCGUGAGUGAAGGAGGGUUUCGGAUCGUAAAGCUCUGUUGUUAAGGAAGCGGUACUUAACCAGAAAGGGACGGCUAACUACGUGCCAGCAGCCGCGGUAAUAC
rnacentral:rRNA from 1 species